UGGGGAAUAUUGCACAAUGGGCGCAAGCCUGAUGCAGCCAUGCCGCGUGUAUGAAGAAGGCCUUCGGGUUGUAAAGUACUUUCAGCUGGGAGGAAGGCGAUAAGGUUAAUAACCUUGUCGAUUGACGUUACCCGCAGAAGAAGCACCGGCUAACUCCGUGCCAGCAGCCGCGGUAAUACGGAGGGUGCAAGCGUUAAUCGGAAUUACUGGGCGUAAAGCGCACGCAGGCGGUCUGUCAAGUCGGAUGUGAAAUCCCCGGGCUCAACCUGGGAACUGCAUUCGAAACUGGCAGGCUAGAGUCUUGUAGAGGGGGGUAGAAUUCCAGGUGUAGCGGUGAAAUGCGUAGAGAUCUGGAGGAAUACCGGUGGCGAAGGCGGCCCCCUGGACAAAGACUGACGCUCAGGUGCGAAAGCGUGGGGAGCAAACA
rnacentral:rRNA from 1 species